rnacentral:piRNA from 1 species
UGAGGACGUAGCAAUGACAGAGACUCAUGGU